CUGUGGCUCUACUAAAACAGAGUGUCAAAAAACCAACCAACCAAAAACUGUUUGCAGAGAAAUAGAAGAAAUUUAAAGCUUUUUUUUUUUUUUAAACUCUCUUCAACUUUGGAUUUUGUUUUCAGUUUUCCCAGGAAGCCACCUACCAUACAGCUUGGGAUAGCUUGCUUGUGCUGUAAACUCUUCUGACAGCCUGGGCCCUCAGAGGCUCUGCUCAGCAGGAGGAGUGAACGACUGCAAGGACAGGAGCCGUGAUUGUGGGCAUGAGGUGAAGCAGGAAAAAGCAAAGUGAAGUAUCUCAAAUGCUGGACAGAGGAUUGUUGCUGGAGCUGAAGCUGUGGGAUGACUAACAUAGAUUUCACAGGAUUCCCCAGCAGCUGUGAUAGCUCAGGCACUCGUGCUGGCAAGCUGCAGUUGGAGACGAUGCUGGGAGGUGGGCAUUUCCAGUGAUUGUUUCGCAACUCUGUUUCCCAAGAGGACAUCAAUUUUGAUCUUAAAAGCUCUCGGCGAAGACAAUGAGCGUUUAUCCAAGGCUCACUGCAUUUGGUGUGCUCCAUCCCUUCUCCCUCAGUUUAAUCUCACCUGGAUAAGGAUUGCAUCCUUACGCACGGGGUGCCGACCUUCCUGCUCCCAAGGGUGUGUGCAGCUGGAUGCCUGUGGCAUUGUGGAAGCAGAGGAAGUGCUGCUGGGCAGGAAAAUAAACCCCAUCUGCAACGUCGUUGGUAGGCUCUGAUGUAAUGCUCAUAUAUCUUUUUGUUGGCUCUUAUUCCUGCUAGCAUGUACUCAUCAUAGUCUAGGAUCUCUAAGAGAGUUUUCCAAAUCCACCUAGGCAGGAUUAGCACCAGG
rnacentral:lncRNA from 1 species